GAUGAACGCUGGCGGCGUGCCUAAUACAUGCAAGUCGAGCGAACAGACGAGGAGCUUGCUCCUCUGACGUUAGCGGCGGACGGGUGAGUAACACGUGUAUAACCUACCUAUAAUACUGGGAUAACUUCGGGAAACCGGAGCUAAUACCGGAUAAUAUAUUGAACCGCAUGGUUCAAUAGUGAAAUACGGUUUUUCUGUCUCUUAUAGAUGGAUCCGCUCCGCAUUAGCUAGUUGGUAAGGUAACGGCUUACCAAGGCGACGAUGGGUAGCCGACAUGAUAGGGGGAACGGCGACACGGGAACUGAGACACGGACAAGACGACUAAGGGAGGCAGCAGAAGGGAAUAGUACGCAAUGGGCGAAAGAAGGACGGAGCAAAGCCGCGGGAGUGAUGAAGGUCUUAGGAUCGUAAAACUCUGUUAUUAGGGAAGAACAAAAGUGUAAGUAACUAUGCACGUAUUGACGGUAACUAAACAGAAAGCAACGGCUAACUACGUG
rnacentral:rRNA from 1 species